GACGAACGCUGGCGGCGUGCUUAACACAUGCAAGUCGAACGGAAAGGCCCUGCUUUUGUGGGGUGCUCGAGUGGCGAACGGGUGAGUAACACGUGAGUAACCUGCCCUUGACUUUGGGAUAACUUCAGGAAACUGGGGCUAAUACCGGAUAUGAGCUCCUGCUGCAUGUUGGGGGUUGGAGAGUUUCGGCGGUUGGGGAUGGACUCGCGGCUUAUCAGCUUGUUGGUGGGGUAGUGGCUUACCAAGGCUUUGACGGGUAGCCGGCCUGAGAGGGUGACCGGCCACAUUGGGACUGAGAUACGGCCCAGACUCCUACGGGAGGCAGCAGUGGGGAAUAUUGCACAAUGGGCGGAAGCCUGAUGCAGCAACGCCGCGUGCGGGAUGACGGCCUUCGGGUUGUAAACCGCUUUCGCCUGUGACGAAGCGUGAGUGACGGUAAUGGGUAAAGAAGCACCGGCUAACUACGUG
rnacentral:rRNA from 1 species